rnacentral:rRNA from 1 species
CCUACGGGAGGCAGCAGUGAGGAAUAUUGGUCAAUGGACGAGAGUCUGAACCAGCCAAGUAGCGUGAAGGAUGACUGCUCUAUGGGUUGUAAACUUCUUUUAUAUGGGAAUAAAACGUUCCACGUGUGGGAUUUUGUAUGUACCAUAUGAAUAAGGAUCGGCUAACUCCGUGCCAGCAGCCGCGGUAAUACGGAGGAUCCGAGCGUUAUCCGGAUUUAUUGGGUUUAAAGGGAGCGUAGGUGGAUUGUUAAGUCAGUUGUGAAAGUUUGCGGCUUAACCGUAAAAUUGCAGUUGAAACUGGUAGUCUAGAGUACAGUAGAGGUAGGCGGAAUUCGUGGUGUAGCGGUGAAAUGCUUAGAGAUCACGAAGAACUCCGAUUGCGAAGGCAGUUCACUGGACUGCAACUGACACUGAGGCUCGAAAGUGUGGGUAUCAAACAGGAUUAGAUACCCUAGUAGUC